GUCGGAAUAGUUUAGUAGGGUAGAACAGCGGGAUCAUAAUUCGCACACGGGGGUUCAAAUCCCUCUUCCGAUA
rfam:Marchantia polymorpha mitochondrion, complete genome.